rnacentral:rRNA from 1 species
UACGGAGGAUGCGAGCGUUAUCCGGAUUUAUUGGGUUUAAAGGGUGCGUAGGCGGGAUGCCAAGUCAGCGGUAAAAAUGCGGUGCUCAACGCCGUCGAGCCGUUGGAACUGGCGUUCUUGAGUGGGCGAGAAGUAUGCGGAAUGCGUGGUGUAGCGGUGAAAUGCAUAGAUAUCACGCAGAACUCCGAUUGCGAAGGCGGCAUACCGGCGCCCUACUGACGCUGAGGCACGAAAGCGUGGGUAUCGAACAGG